rnacentral:rRNA from 1 species
CCUACGGGUGGCAGCAGUCGGGAAUAUUGCGCAAUGGAGGAAACUCUGACGCAGUGACGCCGCGUGCAGGAAGAAGGUUUUCGGAUUGUAAACUGCUUUAGACAGGGAAGAAACAAGACAGUACCUGUAAAAUAAGCUCCGGCUAACUACGUGCCAGCAGCCGCGGUAAUACGUAGGGGGCAAGCGUUAUCCGGAUUUACUGGGUGUAAAGGGAGCGUAGACGGCUGUGCAAGUCUGAAGUGAAAGCCCAGGGCUCAACCCUGGGACUGCUUUGGAAACUGUGGAGCUAGAGUGCUGGAGAGGUAAGUGGAAUUCCUAGUGUAGCGGUGAAAUGCGUAGAUAUUAGGAGGAACACCAGUGGCGAAGGCGGCUUACUGGACAGUAACUGACGUUGAGGCUCGAAAGCGUGGGGAGCAAACAGGAUUAGAUACCCUUGUAGUC